rnacentral:rRNA from 1 species
UACGUAGGGUGCGAGCGUUUGUCCGGAAUUAUUGGGCGUAAAGGGCUCGUAGGCGGUUUGUCGCGUCGGGAGUGAAAUCCACUGGCUUAACUGGUGGCUUGCUUUCGAUACGGGCAGACUGGAGGUAUGCAGGGGAGAACGGAAUUCCUGGUGUAGCGGUGAAAUGCGCAGAUAUCAGGAGGAACACCGGUGGCGAAGGCGGUCUCUGGGCAUGUCCUGACGCUGAGGAGCGAAAGUGUGGGGAGCGAACAGG